UAAGUGACUAAGCGUACACGGUGGAUGCCUUGGCAGUCAGAGGCGAUGAAAGACGUAGUAACUUGCGAUAAGCCCAGAUUAGGUAGUAACAACCAUUUGAGUCUGGGAUUUCUGAAUGGGGAAACCCACGUGCAUAAGCACGUAUCCUUACCUGAAUACAUAGGGUAAGGAGGCGAACCGGGGGAACUGAAACAUCUAAGUACCCCGAGGAAAAGAAAUCAACCGAGAUUCCGAAAGUAGCGGCGAGCGAAAUUGGACUAGCCCUUAAGCUUUACACGCGUUAGACGAACGGUCUGGAAAGUCCGACGAUACAGGGUGAUAGUCCCGUAGUUGACGACGUGUGUUCAGUGAAAUCGAGUAGGGCGGGACACGUGAUAUCCUGUCUGAAUAUGGGGGGACCAUCCUCCAAGGCUAAAUACUACUGACUGACCGAUAGUGAACCAGUACCGUGAGGGAAAGGCGAAAAGAACCCCUGUGAGGGGAGUGAAAUAGAACCUGAAACCGUGUACGUACAAGCAGUAGGAGCAGGCUUUGUCCUGUGACUGCGUACCUUUUGUAUAAUGGGUCAGCGACUUAUAUUCAGUGGCAAGGUUAACCAUCUAGGGGAGCCGUAGGGAAACCGAGUCUUAACUGGGCGUUCAGUCUCUGGAUAUAGACCCGAAACCAGGUGAUCUAGCCAUGGGCAGGUUGAAGGUUGAGUAACAUCAACUGGAGGACCGAACCGACUAAUGUUGAAAAAUUAGCGGAUGACUUGUGGCUAGGGGUGAAAGGCCAAUCAAACCUGGAGAUAGCUGGUUCUCCCCGAAAGCUAUUUAGGUAGCGCCUCGGACGAAUACUACUGGGGGUAGAGCACUGUUAAGGCUAGGGGGUCAUCCCGACUUACCAACCCUUUGCAAACUCCGAAUACCAGUAAGUACUAUCCGGGAGACACACGGCGGGUGCUAACGUCCGUCGUGGAGAGGGAAACAACCCAGACCGCCAGCUAAGGUCCCAAAUUACUACUAAGUGGGAAACGAUGUGGGAAGGCUCAGACAGCCAGGAUGUUGGCUUAGAAGCAGCCAUCAUUUAAAGAAAGCGUAAUAGCUCACUGGUCGAGUCGGCCUGCGCGGAAGAUGUAACGGGGCUAAGUAGUAAACCGAAGCUGCGGCAAUGUGCUUUUGCACAUUGGGUAGGGGAGCGUUCUGUAAGCGGUUGAAGGUGUGUGGUAACGCAUGCUGGACGUAUCAGAAGUGCGAAUGCUGACAUGAGUAACGAUAAAGGGGGUGAAAAACCUCCUCGCCGGAAGACCAAGGGUUCCUGUCCAACGUUAAUCGGGGCAGGGUAAGUCGACCCCUAAGGCGAGGCCGAAAGGCGUAGUCGAUGGGAAACGGGUUAAUAUUCCCGUACUUCUUACAAUUGCGAUGGGGGGACGGAGAAGGCUAGGUGGGCCUGGCGACGGUUGUCCAGGUUCAAGUGCGUAGGCUUAAGAGUUAGGUAAAUCCGGCUCUUUUUAAGGCUGAGACACGACGUCGAGCAUCUACGGAUGUGAAGUCAUUGAUGCCAUGCUUCCAGGAAAAGCCUCUAAGCUUCAGAUUGUAAGGAAUCGUACCCCAAACCGACACAGGUGGUCGGGUAGAGAAUACCAAGGCGCUUGAGAGAACUCGGGUGAAGGAACUAGGCAAAAUGGUACCGUAACUUCGGGAGAAGGUACGCUCUCGACGGUGAAGUCCCUCGCGGAUGGAGCUAUUGAGAGUCGCAGAUACCAGGUGGCUGCAACUGUUUAUUAAAAACACAGCACUGUGCAAAAUCGUAAGAUGACGUAUACGGUGUGACGCCUGCCCGGUGCCGGAAGGUUAAUUGAUGGGGUUAGACUUCGGUCGAAGCUCUUGAUCGAAGCCCCGGUAAACGGCGGCCGUAACUAUAACGGUCCUAAGGUAGCGAAAUUCCUUGUCGGGUAAGUUCCGACCUGCACGAAUGGCGUAAUGAUGGCCACGCUGUCUCCACCCGAGACUCAGUGAAAUUGAAAUCGCUGUGAAGAUGCAGUGUACCCGCGGCUAGACGGAAAGACCCCGUGAACCUUUACUACAACUUGGCACUGAACAUUGACCCUACAUGUGUAGGAUAGGUGGGAGGCUUUGAAGCACGUACGCCAGUAUGUGUGGAGCCGUCCUUGAAAUACCACCCUUGUAGUGUUGAUGUUCUAACGUCGACCCCUUAUCGGGGUUGCGGACAGUGCCUGGUGGGUAGUUUGACUGGGGCGGUCUCCUCCCAAAGAGUAACGGAGGAGCACGAAGGUGGGCUAAUCACGGUUGGACAUCGUGAGGUUAGUGCAAUGGCAUAAGCCCGCUUGACUGCGAGAAUGACAAUUCGAGCAGGUGCGAAAGCAGGUCAUAGUGAUCCGGUGGUUCUGAAUGGAAGGGCCAUCGCUCAACGGAUAAAAGGUACUCCGGGGAUAACAGGCUGAUACCGCCCAAGAGUUCAUAUCGACGGCGGUGUUUGGCACCUCGAUGUCGGCUCAUCACAUCCUGGGGCUGAAGUCGGUCCCAAGGGUAUGGCUGUUCGCCAUUUAAAGUGGUACGCGAGCUGGGUUUAGAACGUCGUGAGACAGUUCGGUCCCUAUCUGCCGUGGGCGUUGGAAGAUUGAAGGGGGCUGCUCCUAGUACGAGAGGACCGGAGUGGACGAACCUCUGGUGUUCGGGUUGUGUCGCCAGACGCAUUGCCCGGUAGCUAAGUUCGGAAUCGAUAACCGCUGAAAGCAUCUAAGCGGGAAGCGAGCCCUGAGAUGAGUCUUCCCUGAUACUUUAAGUAUCCUAAAGGGUUGUCGGAGACUACGACGUUGAUAGGUCAGGUGUGUAAGUGCUGUGAGGCAUUGAGCUAACUGAUACUAAUUGCCCGUGAGGCUUAACCA
rnacentral:rRNA from 4 species